rnacentral:rRNA from 1 species
GAUGAACGCUGGCGGCGUGCCUAAUACAUGCAAGUCGAGCGAACAGAUGAGAAGCUUGCUUCUCUGAUGUUAGCGGCGGACGGGUGAGUAACACGUGGGUAACCUACCUAUAAGACUGGGAUAACUCCGGGAAACCGGGGCUAAUACCUGAUAAUAUUUUGAACCGCAUGGUUCAAUAGUGAAAGACGGCUUCGGCUGUCAC